GUGGGGCUCGGGGCGCACGUGUCGCGGGAAAUGGAGUGGACACCGGGGGCUUCAGGGGAAGACAUCCAAACGACCGGGAGUCACGCGUGGACUCUUUCGCGCGAGGGCUUCUGGAAUCCAUUUUGUCCGUAGAGUGGAUAGAAGCCCCUGAAUCGUAUUUCUGGAGGCAGCCCUACCCAGCCACUGCCAGGAAAUUACCAAGCAUGUCCUGAAGAUGAAGAUACUCUCAGCCUAACGUCUCCAAGCAAAUAUUGAUUCAGCAGUAUCCCCAGGCAAAGCCACACCAUAUAUCAGUGAACAGAGAAACAACUGCCCUUCUCCGGGCCCCUGUCUGAGAAGCUGGAGCAUCAGCCCUGGAGCUCUCCGGAGCAGUUUCCUUGCUCACUGUCCCCAGCUGAACACAGGUUGGUCAGAUCUACUCCCGUUCCCACUCUGCCCCCAUCUCUCCCCUCUGUGCUUGCCAAGCAGUAAGUAGACUGCUCAUAUUUGUGGAAUGAGUAGUGUGUUGGUGUCCCCAGUAGCAGACCUGGCAAUGAGACUUCAUGUGCCAUAUGAAGGGAGUGUUCCAGGGGACAAAAAUAAGGGAAUAGAGAUAGGACAAGGGUGGGUGAGGGGGCAGAGCACUGGAGUUGGGCUGUCCCCCUCACCUCCACUCCUAAACGUCAGACUGCAGGGUUCUUCAAGGAACACAGAAACUCAGGCAUGUGUGCCGAAGCAAUGGCAGGAAGCAAUGAGGACCUGGGUGGGGUGCCUGUGUCUGUCAGUACAACUGUCUGGCUUUCUACUGCUGUGAUGAAAUACUGUGACCAAAAGCCACUUGGGUAGGAAAGAGGUUAUUUUACAUUACAGCUUCUAAGUCCACCACUGUGGGAAAGCCAGGGCAGAAACCUAGAGCAGAAACCAAGGAAACACUGCCUACUGGCCUGUUCUCAUGGUUUGCCCAUCCUGUUUUCUUAUACCAUCUAGGACCACUUACCCAUGGGUGCCACUGCCCACAGUGAGAUGGACCCUCCCACAUCAAUUAUCAGUCAAGAAAAUGUCCCACAGACCAAUUCUGUGGAGGGACAUUUUUUUUCAGUUGAUGGUCUCUUCCCAACUGAUUCUAGCUGUGUUGAGAUGACAUAAAUAGUAGCCAGCAUACCAUCCAAACAGACAGCAAAGCCAAGGCAGCCUUCAGGCCUGCUGUCACUUCAUCCUGUCCUUCCUAGGACCAGAGGGGAUACUGCCUGCUCAGGAAAGCCAAGAGGAGCCUGCUUCUCCUGAAAUGUAAAAAGUACACUGUGCAUAUGGAAAGCAUUAUUGUGUUUCACUGUGCAUCGCCAGAUUCUUCUUGCAAAACAUUGAAGCUUAGCUCAUAAUUUGGUGAUAAAAUAUUGAUUAUUUAUCCACAGCCGCAUGCAGAGGUCCAAAGCACGUAAACAGGAUACCCACCCUGCAUUAUCUUAUAUUUUAAGUCAAUAUGAAGAUGGACAUUCUACCCCUGAGACCAAUUUCGAUCAAAUACUUUUGUCAAUAAAAAGAUACUAAUGUC
rnacentral:lncRNA from 1 species